CCAGCGGCGUCAUGGUCACGAUUUUUUCCGUAGUCAAGUUCGCAGAUGGUGAACAAUCCUCGGUACUCACUUUACGUAAUUUAUGUUUAGUCCCUUACUGUCAGAGCUGUCAGAUCAGUGUAACACGCUAAAUAAAAUUUACACAAAAGGCAAUUUACACGGAAAAAAAUACACGGUUAUGAAUAUUUAUUGGGUACCGGACUGGUCACCGAAAAUUUGAUCGUUUUCUUUGGUACAUCGAGGUCUUGAAAUUAGUCUAUGGUCAUACCCCGCUAAUUCAAACGUGAUUGUAACGUUUUUACAAAUCGAUCACCGUUUACGUAUGCCACAGUGAACCGAUAUCCAUGUCCAGUUCCAAAACUGUGCAAGGGAUUGAACCAAGAAUUUAACUGCAAUUUGAAAUGGUGAAUCAAGCAGCAACAUCCAGGCGGCGCUUACAUCGCAAAGUUCCCAUGGUGCUAUCAGUGAUGAAAAUAAAAAUAUCACUACUGACGUAAAAAUUUGUAUGGUUAUCUCGAUAAUAAAGGCACAGAGAACAGACAUCCAAGUCCAGUUCCGAAACUGUGUAAGGAAUUUAACGGCCAUUUGAAAUCGGCAACACAAGUGGCAAUAGCGUGGCGCUGAAGUCGGUUAAUUCCCCAUACUAAUUUAUUUCACCACUUGAAAUGUUUCAAUUCACCACUGACUGUGGCAAUAUGGUGUUUGGUGGCGUUAGUGUUGUCAUCGUGUAUUGGUUUGCAACCUUACUCAAGUAAAGAUUCAAAUCCUUACACAACUUUCCGAAUGAAAUUUGUUCUAGCCUGGAUGUCUGUUCUCUGUGAUAAAGGCGACAAUUAUUUUAAAAGCGGAAAGCUUGGCGGAAAGAUGAGUAAUAAUGAAAAUAUAGCGCAUUUAGUUCACCACUGGACUAUCGCACUAGUUUUAACGAGUGCGAAAACGCUAAUAAAAGUGCGCGAUUGCAUCAAAUCAACUCGGUGUCUUCAGAGCACUUGUUCACCAUAGAUUGAAGAAAUAGUGCGCCGAAGACAUCAACCUGAUUUGAUGCAAUCGCGCACUUUUAUUUACGUUUUCGCACUUAUGAAGUCGCAGUUCGCAGUCCAGUGGUGAACUAAAUGCGGUAUAAUUUGAUUUCUUACUAUAGGGGCAAGAAGAGAUCAUCAUAAAAAUCAAUACGUACGAAGUGUUGCUCACAAUUGCUCACUAUUCCUCAGGUUUUCUCCACUGAACAUUCAAUGGAUUUUUUUUUAAAUACAGUUGCUCAGAAUUUCUCAGAGUAACUCCCGUUUGCACAGUGCCUUCAGCGAACAAUCCUCGGUCCCCAUUAUGUAAUUUAUUUUUAGUCCUUUUCCUGUCAGAUCGGUGUAACACGCUAAAUGAAAUUUACACGGAAAAAAUACAAGGUAAUGAAUAUUAUUGGGUACCGGACUGCCGGUGGAAGCAUAAUUGUCACAUGUGCAUUUUUGGCAAUAUUGAGAUUUUGCAGCCCAUGACCAAAGUCCAAAUAAGUCGUUCAUGUCCCAUACAUUGGUGUGAAAUUUCAGGGCUCAUGAAGUACUAGAGUAAAAAUGUAUAAUACCCGCAAACAACAUUACCUUGCAUUUCACUCCACAUUGGAUAUCUAGUACUCCGUUAUUAUUGCUAACAGCAAUCAGCAAUUUGUGUAUCCAAGUAUAAACAUGAAAACUGUUGGCGAUUGCUCAAAGGAUUUUUAAACUGCAUACAUUGGCCCGCUAUUGAUGCUUCUAUUUGGAACGGUUUGGAAAGAUUUUGAAAAGAACGUGCGUCUAGGCACUCGAUUUACUGCAAUCUUUAGAGUCUUCCUAAUAACGCGGUUAAUCGUCAGACGGCUGAGACUCGUUACCUCACUCUGUUCCCGGAAUAAUUUCCUUGCACGCAGAAACAACCGGGGAGAACAUAUAUCCGAACUGACGAUGAAGCAGUGUAAACGGCAAUCAAACAGCUUCCUAUUCACUAAAUUGAAGCCACUGUCGUCAUAACCAUGGUCAUAACCGUUUGUGAAUAAUUAGAUAUCCCAAGUAACAAUUAUAAUUUUAUCAAAGUUUUUUAGCGAGUCAAAAAUCCUAAACAUAAAACCAUUGAUGCCGACUUGAAAAUGCUCUCGAGUUCUUGUAUGCCUCAAUAAGCCCACGUUCUGGCUAGUUGGCCCAGUCUUAUUAGGGUCUACAGGACUUCGUAUGCAAACCGGCUUAGGAUUUCGGGUUGUAUCAUAGUUUUAUCAAUCUUUUAAAUAAAACCAUCUUCUGACUUGUCAAAUAAUUGUUUUGAAUAUUUUUCACUCUCAAUGUUCGAUCGUCAGAAUAAAUAAUGCUUGGUUGUUUAUCCAGCCAUCAAUUGGAAAGAUGCAGAUAUGGAAUUCAGAUUUGUUUUCCUUUUCAAUACGUGUCAGGAGACAUGCCACGGAAAAUUUGUGGUGAAUGUGACUGUGAUAAUGACAAAAACUAAGUGCGCCACACAAACUAUGCAUAAUUUGGAAGUUAAAUGCAUUUAAUUUACUCGGUGGAAUUGGGUGCAAAAAAGGUUUUUUCAACACAGCGGAGUUUAAAAGACAUUAUGUAAUUUUUCUGACAAAUUAAAAUGACGGAAACGUGUUGUAUGGUUAAAUUUGAUCUUAAGCUGUACGUGAAAUCAUAAAAUUGAGUAAUAAUUUUUCUGUAUUUACAUGAAUUAUCCCGGCUAGGCGACAUAUUUUUCUGAUAAAACUCUGUAUUCCUGAUGAUUCCUCCAAUAGGGCUAACCCUCCUGAGGUAGUCAUAACUGAGCUCAUGAUAGAACUAGCGGUUUUAUCACAGCAUUUUUUUGGUUUAUGUUGCGGCCACGAAAUCUUUUGUUGGUUUUAUGCAUUGCCUCACAGUUUUGUGUAUUUGUUUACAAAAAAAAAUCUCUCCGGCAACAACCGCAAAUGCAAGUUUUAUUGAAAUGGUAUAUAAUAAGAGAUAAAACCAAUUCAUGUCUACUCUCAAGUCUUUAACUGAAGAUGUUUAUAGCAGAAGUUAUAUGAUAGUUUUAUGGAACGCCAAAGGUUCAAAGUAAAAAACUACCACAUAAAACUAACUUAGAACAACUAGCUUUUUAAUAUGCUCGUAUAAAACCAGGAUAAAACAUGAAUAAACCUUCAAGGCAUGCUGAUUGUUACUUGGGAUGGCUACAACGGCCUCCCAUUCAGCAUAAACCAAUUUUCAGUACCGCAAGAAAGUCCCUUCGGGCUUGAACUCAAAAGUCUUUAUUAAAUGCAGUGAUACCCAUAUGAAAAUCUAACAAAAUAAAGAAAAAUUUAUAAAAAAAAGUUUAUUUUCAAUUCAGACUUGAUUCUUGCCCUCUUAUGACAAGUACUCAAGUAUCACUGCUCAAGUCGGCCACGGUCGGGUUGCGUCUCGCUCCAAAAAAGCAAUUUAAAUACAACACAUUUGAGAGCUGGCAGAUAUUGUUCAAUAUUAUAUUAACCUUACAAAGUACCUUCUGCUGCUUGUUCUGCGGAAGUCUGGUUGGUCGUUUCGGUUUUCGGUUUGAAACUUGACAUAUUGUCGUAAGCUACUACUUCAUCGUCGGCUACUACGCCGCAAAGUAUAUAAAAUUAAGGUAGUCAGCCAAACGUCAAACUUGGGUACCGGGGACCAAAUGCAGUACUAGAGUUGGUACCCAGUCUAAGCCCGAGUGCUACGACUUUAUUUUGACUUUGCCAUGACCAUGUAUCAUGGUGUACUAUCAUAUAGAGAAAUAAAAAUAGGUAGUUUGUUCCGAAAACUGUUGAAAAAAUGCAACGCCGAUUUGCCACAUUCUGAAAAGUGGACGCAUAAGUGUCACCCCGAAUAAAACGGUAUUAUAUGACUAUUAUACAGGACAUCAUUUUCAGAUGAUUCAUGCUAUCAUAAACUGGAUUAUAAACCGAUAAUACCAAGAAUCAUAUCAGUGAUUGCAGUUAUCAUAUUGGAAGUUUCAAUGAUAGACCGAAUGGGUUGUUAAGUAUCGUUACCAUUCAAAAAUGCCCUUUUUCUCAAACAAAAAUUUCGAGAAAUCAUACAUGAAAUAAUCAGUUUAUGAUAAAAAUGACGAUACAGUAAAUCGUAAAAAAAAAUGAAAUAUUUCAUGAAAUCUGUUUUACCGACCUCAAAAAAUGUGUACACCCCUGCGGUCUCUCGGUGGAUUCUGUUAAAUAGGUCUACCGUUCAGUGAAUAAUUGUUUACUUUCACAGUUUUUUUUUGUAAUUUCUUGUGCGUUUUGGAUUUGAACGGUGGUUGUCGAGGUUCCUACGUAGUUCCGCGGGUGUGCUGUGUACUAGGCCAAAGUCGAUAAGUGCUCGCGGUUGUCUAGAACCCAGUGAUGUGCGAAGUGGUUGAUCAGAUGGAUAUUUUAACUGAAAGGAGAAAUCCGGAGAUACAAUUUCCAAGGAUGCAUGGUGAAUUGUAGUCAACCCUUUGGAGCCGGAGGGGUCAAUAUGACCCCGGCGAUGAAACCGGACAUAACAAACGUGUUUGACACCAGCGAUGUUGCGACAGCAGUGACAAAACAAUCCAGCUUCAAAGAGUUAAGGAAGGUAAGUUUGCAAGUGCGCAGCGUAAAAAUUAUGGUACUACGUAGUAUCAAACGCGUUUCAGCAUUUAGUGUGCGUGUGUUUUUUUGUCAAAAAGUGCCGGAUUAGGGCGUUUAAAUAAGGUAUCAGCGCAAGCCAAGGUGAUGACCCGCAUAGAAAAAUAUUAUUCUUGGUAUCGUGCAUAUCAUACGAUGUUUGUUGGUAGAAUGAUAACUAUAUAAGUAAUCAUCGUGCUAUGAUAAAAUUAUUGAGGUUGAAAAAAUACAAUUAUUCACGACUUUUCAUGAAUCAUAAAACUUAUGAUAAUGAUGCAUUGAAUAAUACAUGAAUAAUUUUGAAAAAUAAUAUUCCCCAUGAAAUUAAGAACAAAACUAUGCUUUCGGCCGAUUUUUUCACUUUAUUCAGGAAUUAAUAGCAGAAAUAGAACGUCCCCGAAUAAACCGAUAUGAUACAUCAAUUUAACAGUGUAUCAUUUUCUGAUCAUAUGUGUUAUCGUAUACUGGAUGAUAAAUCGAUGACAAGACAAAUCAAAUUGAUGAUUGCAGUUAUCAUUUUUGGUGUUUUGAUGGUAGACCGAAUGGGUUGUUAAGUAUCGUUACCAUUCAAAAAUGCCAUUUUUCUCGAACAAAAUUUUUGUGGAAUUAUACGUGUUAUGAUCAGUUUAUCAUCAACGUUAUGAUACAGCGAAUAAUAAAAACAAAAUGGAAAUAUUUCAUCGAAUCUGCUUUGCCGACUGAGAAAAAAGCACACCCCUGUGGGCAUUUUUUGGACACUGUCAAAUUUGUCUACGAUUGUGUGAAUAAUUGUUUACUUCCGAAGUGUUUUUUUUGUAAUUACUUUAUUGAAUCGGGAAUCGAACCGUGUGAUUUCCAAGCUUCCACUGCUCCUCGCACGGUGUUUACUCGCUACUCCAAACAGAAUUAGUGCUCGCGGGUGGCUCAAAUGUAUAAAUGUUCUUCAUCUGAAGAUGCGAAAAAGUAACAUUGCACAUAAGAAAUUGCGGAAGGAAAAUCUCCAAGAGUAAGAACUCUUCGAAGUGUUGUGCCCAGUAUCAACGACCGAUCUUCGUUUUGGCAUUUUGCAUACUAUGGCAGCCGGCAAAGGUAAGCUUUCAUGAGAAUUUGCCAAGAAACUUGCAGUAGUUAAUCCAUGACUGCUGCUGGCAUUGAAUCAGUUUUUUUCUACAGAGUGCUCUUUGCUGGACACUUCUAGAGAUCAGAAUUAGGUACUGGAUUCCAUCGCUAACAAUGACACAUUUACACAAGCAUUUACACCGAGAUUUGCACAAAUGGGUUGAUUUCCCACUCCAAAAGGAUUGCAAUGCUUGUGCAUCGAAAAAAAAAACAUCUUUUGCUUACCGAGCGUACAAACCCAUAUUAUUAAAAAUUAUUAAUGUACUAUUGGAUGUAUCAUCAUUAAAAAUGUUAUGAUUCCUGAAACAUAUUGAAUAAUGCCAUUUUUUUUGCCUUAAUCAUCCAAUCAUUAAACUUUUAUAACUUUUAUAAUAAUCAUUCCACGAACAAAUAUCGGAUGAUAUGAAUGAUUUCAUCAAUCGUAUUUUUCUAUGCGGGUGGAUAUCUCUUCACUAUGGAUUGACUGCAAGUACUACAAGUAAGACGAUGGAUUUUCUAAGAUAAGUCUGAGUUUGUCUUAUAUUGUAGAACGACAAGGUUGCUCUGGUCGCGCUCAUGUCUAUUGAUAUCUGCACCACUUCUGUUAAGUGCCACCGCUAACCAGAAAUUAUUCAUUCGUCACAGAAAAUCACACAAUCUGUCACGUUCAGUUCUCCUCAUUUAUUCUCUAUGGUGGGUUAUAUAUUAUUACCAGCAUCACUAAUGUGAUGAGAUGCAUCUGAGCACAGGGUGUGCUGCUUGAAGAACACGAUAUAAAAUGUUUUUGUGCAAGUUGAAAAGAGCAAUACAGUAGACGUUCGAUAACUGCAACGUGUUUACGUUUCAGUUAGCGAACAAAAUUCGUGCGUCAACAACCCAUCAAUUGACGUUAAAUGAACAAAAAAUUCAUUCGAUUGUUCAUUUGGGCUAACUUGGCGCACCGUUUUGACGGAUAGCGGUGCGAUAACUGCAAAUUUGUUGCACUUACCGGACUUGCAGUUAAAAAACAUUACAGUUAAACCGUUUGCACCGACCGAUAGUCCACUGUGAUUUUUUUUGUUUGAAAUAUUGACCGUCCAGUUCCAAACUGUUCACGACCGUUCGAAACAGUCGCCGUUUCAAACGGUCGGUAAAACAGUCGGUGACGGAUUUGAAAGAUUUCGCGCGCAAACGCGUUUUCAAAAACAUUCAAUUGGUGGAACAAGGACAGCUAACCGGUCACCCUGAUCAGCUGUUGCCGGCAGCCAAGCCACCAGCUUUUUGGCGCGGAAGUCGAGGGGUGUUCAGAUGCAAUGUUUAUCACUCAACAAAUUUAUGAAAUGUUCUAAAGUGAGGUUUAAUAAAUGCAGGUUAUAUUAUUUCCAGGAUAAUUGCUAAUGUUUGUUAUUCUGAAAACCUAUACGUUCGAAAUAAUGAUGUGCUUGAACAAAUUUGCUGAUUAAUUGGUUUCUGUAGAAUACAUCGAGAAUCCCCUCGAUAUUCGACGACUGUUCUGAACAGAUUCACAAACAGUCGGGAUAAUCCAACUUUGAACUGAAUACACAAUACU